CGAUAUUUUUGCGUGUUGUCACCCACUCCCGGAACGGGGAGGUAGUGACGAAAAAUAACGAUACGGGACUCAUCCGAGGCCCCGUAAUCGGAAUGAGUAUACUCUAAAUCCUUGUACAAGUAUCAAUUGGAGGGCAAGUCUGGUGCCAGCAGCCGCGGUAAUUCCAGCUCCAAUAGCGUAUAUUAAAGUUGUUGCGGUUAAAAAGCUCGUAGUUGGAUCUGUGUCCUUCGACGCCGGUUCACCGCCUGUCGGUGCCAACUGGCGUUUUGCGGGACGUCCUGUCGGUGGUGUGUCUGGAAUCUUGGUUGUGCUAUGCUCUGCUUAGUGCAGCUUUGGUUUUGGGCCACUUUCAUAAUCCCGCCGCGGUGCUCUUAAUCGAGUGUCGAGGCGGGCCGGCACGUUUACUUUGAACAAAUUAGAGUGCUUCAAGCAGGCUUGUCACGCCUGUAUACUGUGUGCAUGGAAUAAUGGAAUAGGACCUCGGUUCUAUUUUGUUGGUUUCCGGAAUCUGAGGUAAUGAUCAAUGGGGACAGGCGGGGGCAUUCGUAUUGCGACGUUAGAGGUGAAAUUCUUGGAUCGUCGCAAGACGGACCGAAGCGAAAGCAUUUGCCAAGUAUGUUUCCGUCGAUCAAGAACGAAAGUUAGAGGUUCGAAGGCGAUCAGAUACCGCCCUAGUUCUAACCAUAAACAAUGCCUGCCAGCGAUCCGCCGGCGUCCCUCCGAUGACCCGGCGGGCAGCUUCCGGGAAACCAGAGCUUUUGGGUUCCGGGGGAAGUAUGGUUGCAAAGCUGAAACUUAAAGGAAUUGACGGAAGGGCACCACCAGGAGUGGAGCCUGCGGCUUAAUUUGACUCAACACGGGAAAACUCACCAGGCCCGGACACCGGAAGGAUUGACAGAUUGAUAGCUCUUUCUUGAUUCGGUGGGUGGUGGUGCAUGGCCGUUCUUAGUUGGUGGAGCGAUUUGUCUGGUUAAUUCCGAUAACGAACGAGACUCUAGCCUACUAACUAGACGUAUCUGGUAUCAGCAAUCGUGCUACCAGCGAUCAUAUCUCUUCUUAGAGGGACAGGCGGCUUCUAGCCGCACGAGACUGAGCAAUAACAGGUCUGUGAUGCCCUUAGAUGUCCUGGGCCGCACGCGCGCUACACUGAAGGAAUCAGCGUGUCUUCCCUGUCCGAAAGGACCGGGUAACCCGCUGAACCUCCUUCGUGCUUGGGAUUGGGGCUUGCAAUUGUUCCCCAUGAACGAGGAAUUCCCAGUAAGCGCGAGUCAUAAGCUCGCGUUGAUUACGUCCCUGCCCGAGGUACACG
rnacentral:rRNA from 1 species